rnacentral:rRNA from 1 species
GACGAACGCUGGCGGCGUGCUUAACACAUGCAAGUCGAACGAAGUGGCGAACGGGUGAGUAACGCGUAAUCAACCUGCCAUUCAGAGGGGGACAACAGUUGGAAACGACUGCUAAUACAGCAUACUGAAGGAGGGGAAUGAGUCUGAUUAGCUAGUUGGAUGGGUAACGGCCCACCAAGGCGAUGAUCAGCAGCCGGUCUGAGAUGAUGAACGGCCACAUUGGGACUGGGACACGGCCCAGACUCCUACGGGAGGCAGCAGUGGGGAAUCUUCCGCAAUGGACGAAAUUCUGACGGAGCAACGCCGCUUGAGUGAUGACGGCCUUCGGGUUGUAAAGCUCUGUUAAUCGGGACGCGGUACCGGAAUAGAAAGCCACGGCUAACUACGUGCCAGCAGCCGCGGUAAUUC